AUGCAACGUCUGACUCAUCCCCAAAGUCACAAUGACCAUGAAAGUACACAUUUUGAACUGGUUCAGGACAUCAGGGCAGCCACAACAGUGCAACUGAAGACUCAUGAAAGAAGACUUCCAGAACCACUUCAGAAAAUGGCAAGAAUAAUGGGAAGCGUGUGUCUGAAGGGAGCACAAGGGACACAGCUGCUUCUCCACAGCCUGCCUGCUCAUCUCAGCACUUCACAGGAUGUUCAUCCUGUCACCUACAGACCAGCACCUUACACAGCAGUCUUCAUUCUAAGGAAACCACGCCAUACACAGAUACACACUUUUUACUAAAUGCUACAAAUAAAUAUAAAUAAAACCUUUAUACUAAAGGUAGUUAAAAUCAUUUCCUACUGAAAUAGAAAAUCAACCAAAAACAGGCUAAACUGAACUUUAUGGAAUUACAAAGAAGAAAUAGUGUAAGAGACUAUCUUUGAUAUCUCAAGGAUUUAUACUUCAGUUAAGGAAAUGGCAUCAGAGCACCCUAGGAAUGCUGUUUUCCACAGUAAGUGCCAAAUGAACUUACUGGCUCCAGACAGUGUCCCUGGAACAUCAGAAAAGCAACCUCCAGUGUCCCUCAGUAUUCAUGAGAGGUGGGGUCCAGGACCCCCUAUGCAUACCAAAACACACAGACGUUCAAUUCCCUUAUAGAAAGUGGUGUACUACCUUGCACAUAACCUACCCACAUCCUCCUGUAUGUUUUAAUAUCUGAACUACUUAUAACACUCAAUACAGUGCAGAUGCCACGUAAAGAUUUUUUUACUGUAUUGUUUAGAAAAUGACAAUGAGAGAAAAGUUGGUACGUGUUCAGUACAGAUGCAACGCUCGAAAAAUAUUUUCAAUUUGCAGUUGCUUUUGAGUCUACAGAUGAAGACACUGCAGAUAGGGAGGGAUGACUGUAUUUAUAAUAGGAAAGAAGGAAUUAUAAGCCAAUUCUUGAAUAAGUGAAUCUUUUGAGAGAAGCACCAGAUGGAAGGUGCUUCUGAGAUGGACACGGUGUGAAGGAAAGAGUCAGGCAAGAUGAGCACAAGGCAGGCAGUGGAGGUGAGAGCUGGGAUACCAGACAAAGGAAAGGAGACGGCUGCUGGUUCUGGUGACCUGAAUGACAGACACAAGUGGUUCUCUAUCCCCCAGUGGAGGCUAAGGACAGGUUUAGAAUAUGAGCGUGUUCAUGGAUCACUGCAUAACACUUAGAAAAGGGAUGCAGAAAGGAAAAAAUAAAAUAGGGUAGCCAGUAAGGAAGGUCUUGAAAUAUCUAGGUCAGGAUAAUGACAGCAUGAACUGAGGUGGCAGCAGUGGAGAGGGAAAAUGACAGGGCAAGAGUGACAAGGGGAGAUGGGUGUCAACAAGGUGCCAUGUUCUGGAUCCUCGGAGGCAUGGAGAACAAAACUCAGGAAGGCAGGAAAGUACAUGUGCUAUGUGCACAAGUGUGCACUGUGCACUCACUGUGUCCUGCGUGUGUCCUGCACAUGUGCAUGUUCACUUAUGUGGAUAUGUGUGUUGGUUAGUUCAUUUGGAUUUUUCUUUUGGCCAAGGGACAACCAGGGAAGUGUGGGAUUUGUUUCGGGGGAGGCAAGGCAGUGUUACCCGAGAAGGGACCCUUCCACAGCAGUGACCACGGGUCAGAAAUGAGCUGCCUUGCUCAGGCUAAGGAUGAAGCUGUGGCAUCAGACAGGGUGGUGACGGGCACACACAGGGUAUGGGAAGCAGAGAGCCACAGGACAAGCCUGAGGCCGAGGGAGACUUAGGAGGCAGAGCGCUUUGUGGGUUUGGAGGCGCGCAUGUUGAUUCUGCCACUGCUCCUGUGUCUUUGUCCCCUUUCAGCUUUCUACACUUCAGCUAGUUUCUUUCCUUCCAACGUUUUGAAUAAUUUAAGGAAGUACACUGUAUAGAACCUAUCCCCUUAAAUUACAGAACUAAGUAACCCCAACUACACACCCCCGGACGGCAUUACGCUCUCCACAGAUCAUCUUCCCACUUUCACCAGUCAGCUGAAGCUCCGGCCCAGAACACAUCCCAAACUCACCUAUCCCUGCAUUUCCAUGGGUCGUGGAGGAUCCUGCAAAGUGUUCUCCCUGCUUCCACCCCCACAUAUACCCCAACAAUUCCUUCUCUAGAAAGUGGCUAAAAUGACUUUAAAACAUAAUUUAGAUCUGCUCAAAACCCACCUACCAGCGCUUCCCCAGACGCAGUAAGCCCUAUUCAUGCAGGUGGCGGUGCUAGCCUGGCUGGUGGCUAUUUCUCAACAUACUAUGUGUUCUCCAGCCCCAGCUCAUGACAACACUGCCCCCAGUAUGGGGGGUUCUUCCUCCUGGUCUUUAUGGGGAUGAUCCUUCUCUCUAGAUCACUCUAAGAAAUGCACUUGCAACAACUAUCCUAAUUGCUCCUUAGUCUCUUUCAUGCCAGCUGCUCUUUCUUGUUUCUGUGGCACUGACAAGAAGAUUCUACUUUGCCGAUGUCACAGUGUCCCCAAGUCAGCUGACCCUUUGUCUUCUACAUGGUGGUGCAACCUAAAUUCUGGCCCCUGCUGUGCACCAGUGAACAGUGUAGUUUUUGUUGACUCUCUUAUUACUAAUGGACCUUGGUCUUUUCAUUCAUAAAAUGUAGCCCAGACUUCCUGUCGGUGCACGAUACACUCUUGCAUUAGGUAGAAGGACAACUGCUAAGAGAAAGGGAAGACGAAAGAAAGGACGAAAGGAGGGAUGGAGAAGACAGAGGGAAGAACCAGUCUUGCAGAUCAAUCCUACCAUGUGGUCCUGCCGCAAGCAGAGGAAGUCCUGGCACCAGGGAGCCUGAAUCCCACCACUGCCCCUAAGACAACUGACCCAGAGUUUGAGGGACGGUUUCAAAAAUGUUAUUAGAUUAGUAGCUUUCCAAAGCAAUUAGGAGCAUGGGCCUUGAAAUGCACAGACUCUAGCUCUUCUACAAAGCGGAUUCUAGCUCGGCUCAUUACUAUCUUUGAGUCAUUUCACCUCCCUGGCUCCUCUCCUGGGCUAGGGAGCUGACAGUGACCCACAGGUAGUCAUUCUGAAGAUUAUGUGAGAUCGUGUGGCACAGCACUGGGUGGGCACCUGGAGCUUGAGCAGAGUGAUCAUCACACACUGUGCAGUUGUGGACUUUUUCAAAGCUGCUGCUUCUGAGUGUAGCUUUACCUGUGCUGCUGUAGGACGGUGAAACAGUCUCUGUCUCUGUGUUGGUCUGUGAAGUAUGGCAAAGGUGUUGUAUGCCCAAGUCCUUACGUGGAGCUCCAGCUUCGAAUGCUUAACUCAUUUCCCCACUAGAGCCAAAUAUUUUAUUUUAAAAUAAAAUUACAAGCUGGUUAUGGUAGUGCACACCUGUAAUCUUAUCACUCUCUAAGGCUGAGGUAGAAGGAUUUCAAGUUAAAGCCCAGCUUGGGCAAAUGAGUAAUUUGGUAAGAU
rnacentral:lncRNA from 1 species